rnacentral:rRNA from 1 species
AUUGAACGCUGGCGGCAUGCCUUACACAUGCAAGUCGAACGGCAGCACGGGUGCUUGCCCCUGGUGGCGAGUGGCGCACGGGUGAGUAAUACAUCGGAACAUGUCCUGUAGUGGGGGAUAGCCCGGCGAAAGCCGGAUUAAUACCGCAUACGAUCUACGGAUGAAAGCGGGGGACCUUCGGGCCUCGCGCUUUAGGGUUGGCCGAUGGCGGAUUAGCUAGUUGGUGGGGUAAAGGCCUACCAAGGCGACGAUCAGUAGCUGGUCUGAGAGGACGACCAGCCACACUGGGACUGAGACACGGCCCAGACUCCUACGGGAGGCAGCAGUGGGGAAUUUUGGACAAUGGGCGAAAGCCUGAUCCAGCAAUGCCGCGUGUGUGAAGAAGGCCUUCGGGUUGUAAAGCACUGUUGUCCGGAAAGAAAUCCUUGGCCCUAAUACGGGCGGGGGAUGACGGUACCGGAAGAAUAAGCACCGGCUAACUACGUG